rnacentral:lncRNA from 1 species
UGGUGGAAGAAAUUCCACUACAACAUCCUUCUGCCUAAAGUGAAUUGCACCAUGCACACCACACCCCAGGGAAGUACUCAGCUUCUUUUGUUCUCUUCUCUCUUCUUCUCCUCUCCUCUUCUCUCUUCUUUUACAUUGAGGACAAUGCAUAAUUUAAGUGUGGGGGUGCAUAUAGCUUCUUUCUUCUCCUUCUCCCUUUUCCUUCUUCUUCUCCCCUUCUCUUCUUCUGCG